rnacentral:rRNA from 1 species
UACGAAGGGGGCUAGCGUUGUUCGGAAUCACUGGGCGUAAAGCGCAUGCAGGCGGCUUGUUAAGUCGGGGGUGAAAUCCCGAGGCUCAACCUCGGAACUGCCUUCGAUACUGGCAAUCUUGAGUCCGGGAGAGGUGAGUGGAACUGCGAGUGUAGAGGUGAAAUUCGUAGAUAUUCGCAAGAACACCAGUGGCGAAGGCGGCUCACUGGCCCGGUACUGACGCUGAGGUGCGAAAGCGUGGGGAGCAAACAGG